AUGAAGGCCCUCGGGUUGUAAACUGCUUUUGCUCACGGAACGAAAAGCCUGGGGCUAAUAUCCCCGGGUCAUGACGGCUACCGUAAGAAUAAGCACCGGCUAACUACAGUGCACAGUCAGCCGCGGUAAUACGUACUGGUGCAAGCGUUAAUCGGAAUUACUGGGCGUAAAGCGUGCGCAGAGCGGUUUUGUAAGACAGUGGUGAAAUCCCCGGGCUCAACCUGGGAACUGCCAUUGAGACUGCAAAGCUACAGUGCGGCAAAGGGGGAUGGAAUUCCGCGUGUAACAACGAAAUGCGUAAAUGUGCGUAGAGAACACCGAUGGCGAAGGCAAUCCCCUGGGCCUGCACUGACGCUCAUGCACGAAAAGCGUGGGGAGCAAACAGGAUUAAAUACCCUGGCAAUCCACGCCCUAAACGUAUGUCAUACUGGUUGUUGGGUCUUAACUGACUCAAUAACGCAAGCUAACGCCUGAAGUUGACCGCCUGGGGAGUUCGCCCGCAAGGUUGAAACUCAAAGGAAUUGGCGGGGACCCGCACAAGCGGUGGAUGAUGUGGUUUAAUUGGAUGCAACGCGAAAAACCUUACCCACCUUUGACAUGGCAGGAACUUACCAGAGAUGGUUUGGUGCUUGAAAGAGAACAUGCACACAGGUGCUCGCAUGGCUGUUGUCAGCUCGUGUCGUGAGAUGUUGGGUUAAGUCCCGCANACGAGCGCAACCCUUCCCAUUAGUUGAUACAUUCAGUUGAGCACUUUAAUGGGACUGCCGGUGACAAACCGGAGGAAGGUGGGGAUGACGUCAAGUCCUCAUGGCCCUUAUAGGUGGGGCUACACACGUCAUACAAUGGGUGGUACAAAGGGUUCCCACCCCGCGAGGGGGAGCUAAUCCCAUAAAGCCCAGUCGUAGUCCGGAUCGCAGUCUGCAACUCGACUGCGUGAAGUCGGAAUCGCUAGUAAUCGUGGAUCAGAAUGUCACGGUGAAUACGUUCCCGGGUCUUGUACACACCCGCCCGUCACACCCAUGGGAGCGGGUCUCGCCAGAAGUAGGUAGC
rnacentral:rRNA from 1 species